rnacentral:rRNA from 1 species
UAGAGUUUGAUCCUGGCUCAGGACGAACGCUUGCGGCGUGUCUAACACAUGCAAGUCGAGCGAAUGAUGUUCCUUCGGGAAUGGAUUUAGCGGCGGAGGGGAGAGUAACACGUGCGCCCCCUGCCUCAUAGAGGGAAAUACCCUUCAGAAAGGGAUAUUAAUACCACAUAAGAUUGUACUACCGCGUGGUACAGCAAAUAAGGGAGCCAUCCGCUAUGAGAUGGGCCCGCGCCUCAUUAUCUAGUUGGGGAGGUAACGGCUCACCAAGGCGACAAUGCGUACCCCACCUGAGAGGGUGAUCGGCCACAUUGGGACUGAGACACGGCCCACACUCCUACGGGAGGCAGCAGCGGGGAAUAUUGCACAAUGGGGGAAACCCUGAUGCAGCAACGCCGCGUGAGUGAUGACGGCCUUCGGGUUGUAAAGCUCUGUCUUCAGGGACGAUAAUGACGGUACCUGAGGAGGAAGCCACGGCUAACUACGUGCCAGCAGCCGCGGUAAUACGUAGGUGGCGAGCGUUGUCCGGAUUUACUGGGCGUAAAGGGAGCGUAGGCGGAUUUUUAAGUGAGAUGUGAAAUACUCGGGCUUAACCUGAGUGCUGCAUUUCAAACUGGAAGUCUAGAGCGCAGGAGAGGAGAAGGGAAUUCGUAGUGUAGCGGUGAAAUGUGUAGAGAUUAGGAAGAACACCAGUGGAGAAGGCGCUUCUGUGGACUGUAACUGACGGUGAGGCACGAAAGCGUGCGGAGCAAACAGGAUUAGAUACCCUGGUAGUCCACGCAGUAAACGAUGAGUACUAAGUGUCGGGAGAACCCGGUGCUGCAGUUAACGCAUUAAGUACUCCGCCUGAGUAGUACGUGCGCAAGCAUAAAACUCAAAGGAAUUGGCGGGACCUCCCACAAGCGGUGGAUCAUGUUGUUUAAUUCGACGAUACGCGAAGAACCUUACCGGGCCCUGACAUACCGAGCGAUGCUAUGGAGACAUACCCGAGGUUAACUGGGAUACAGGUGGUGCAUGGUUGUCGUCAGCUCGUGUCGUGAGAUGUUGGGUUAAGUCCCGCAACGAGCGCAACUCUUAUCGCUAAUUGCCCUCCUUAAGUUGGGGACUCUAGCGAGACCGCCAGUGACAAACUGGAGGAAGGUGAGAAUGACGUCAAAUCAUCAUGCCCCUUAUGUCCUGGGCUACAAACGUGAUACAAUGGCUGGUACAAAGGGAGGCAACGCCGUGAGGCCAAGCGAACCCCACAAAACCAAUCUCAGUUCGGAUUGAAGUCUGCAACUCGACUUCAUGAAGUCGGAAUCGCUAGUAAUCGUAGAUCAGCACGGUACGGUGAAUACGUUCUCGAGCUUUGCACACACCGCCCGUCA